rnacentral:rRNA from 1 species
AGAGUUUGAUCCUGGCUCAGGACGAACGCUGGCGGCGUGCUUAACACAUGCAAGUCGAACGGAACUAUUAUGGAAUGUCUUCGGACAGGAAGUUUUAGUUUAGUGGCGAACGGGUGAGUAACGCGUGAGGAACCUGCCUUUCAGAGGGGGACAACAGUUGGAAACGACUGCUAAUACCGCAUAAUACAGCAACUUCGCAUGAAGAUACUGUCAAAGAUUUUAUCGCUGAAAGAUGGCCUCGCGUCUGAUUAGAUAGUUGGUGGGGUAACGGCCCACCAAGUCGACGAUCAGUAGCCGGACUGAGAGGUUGAACGGCCACAUUGGGACUGAGAUACGGCCCAGACUCCUACGGGAGGCAGCAGUGGGGAAUAUUGGGCAAUGGGCGCAAGCCUGACCCAGCAACGCCGCGUGAAGGAAGAAGGCUUUCGGGUUGUAAACUUCUUUUACCAGGGACGAAGGAUGUGACGGUACCUGGAGAAAAAGCCACGGCUAACUACGUGCCAGCAGCCGCGGUAAUACGUAGGUGGCAAGCGUUGUCCGGAUUUACUGGGUGUAAAGGGCGUGUAGGCGGAGAUGCAAGUCAGGAGUGAAAUCUAGGGGCUCAACCCCUAAACUGCUUUUGAAACUGUAUCCCUUGAGUAUCGGAGAGGCAGGCGGAAUUCCUAGUGUAGCGGUGAAAUGCGUAGGUAUUAGGAGGAACACCAGUGGCGAAGGCGGCCUGCUGGACGACAACUGACGCUGAGGCGCGAAAGCGUGGGGAGCAAACAGGAUUAGAUACCCUGGUAGUCCACGCUGUAAACGAUGAAUACUAGGUGUGGGGGGACUGACCCCUUCCGUGCCGCAGUUAACACAAUAAGUAUUCCACCUGGGGAGUACGAUCGCAAGAUUGAAACUCAAAGGAAUUGACGGGGGCCCGCACAAGCAGUGGAUUAUGUGGUUUAAUUCGACGCAACGCGAAGAACCUUACCGAGGUUUGACAUCCCACUAACGAAGUAGAGAUACAUCAGGUGCCCUUCGGGGAAAGUGGAGACAGGUGGUGCAUGGUUGUCGUCAGCUCGUGUCGUGAGAUGUUGGGUUAAGUCCCGCAACGAGCGCAACCCCUAUUGUUAGUUGCUACGCAAGAGCACUCUAGCGAGACUGCCGUUGACAAAACGGAGGAAGGUGGGGACGACGUCAAAUCAUCAUGCCCUUUAUGUCCUGGGCUACACACGUAAUACAAUGGCGUAAACAAAGGGAAGCGACCCUGUGAAGGUGAGCAAAUCCCAAAAAUAACGUCUCAGUUCGGAUUGUAGUCUGCAACUCGACUACAUGAAGCUGGAAUCGCUAGUAAUCGCGAAUCAGAAUGUCGCGGUGAAUACGUUCCCGGGUCUUGUACACACCGCCCGUCACACCAUGGGAGUCGGUAAUGCCCGAAGUCAGUGACCUAACCGCAAGGAAGGAGCUGCCGAAGGCAGGAUCGAUAACUGGGGUGAAGUCGUAACAAGGUAACC